rnacentral:rRNA from 1 species
UAACUCCGUGCCAGCAGCCGCGGUAAUACGGAGGGUGCAAGCGUUAAUCGGAAUUACUGGGCGUAAAGCGCACAAAGGCGGUCUGUCAAGUCGGAUGUGAAAUCCCCGGGCUCAACCUGGGAACUGCAUUCGAAACUGGCAGGCUGGAGUCUUGUAGAGGGGGGUAGAAUUCCAGGUGUAGCGGUGAAAUGCGUAGAGAUCUGGAGGAAUACCGGUGGCGAAGGCGGCCCCCUGGACAAAGACUGACGCUCAGGUGCGAA